rnacentral:rRNA from 1 species
GAUUAUGGCUCAGAACGAACGCUGGCGGCAGGUCUUAGGCAUGCAAGUCGAACGGAUGACAGAGAGCUUGCUCUCUGAAGUCAGUGGCGCACGAGUGAGUAACGCGUGGGAAACUGCCCUUCACUGGGGAAUAACGUUUGGAAACGAACGCUAAUACCGCAUACGCCCGCAAGGGGAAAGAUUUAUCGGUGAUGGAUGUGCCCGCGUUGGAUUAGCUAGUUGGUGGGGUAAUGGCCUACCAAGGCGAUGAUCCAUAGCUGAUCUGAGAGGACGAUCAGCCACGCUGGAACUGAGACACGGUCCAGACUCCUACGGGAGGCAGCAGCUAAGAAUAUUGGGCAAUGGAGGAAACUCUGACCCAGCCCAUGCCGCGUGAAUGAAGAAGGCCUUCGGGUUGUAAAGUUCUUUUAGUCAUGAAGAUGAUGACAGUAGUGACAGAAAAAGCACCGGCUAACUUCGUGCCAGCCGCCGC